ensembl:lncRNA
CUCCGGCCCCUCGCACCCGCCGGGCGCCGCCUUCCCUCCGUCGCCGUUCGGUGCCCCGUGGGCGGCAUCGAUCCCGCGCCCACCGCCUUCCCGGAGCGGGGAGGUCCCUUAGGCCGCCCCACAGCUGUGCUGGGCCUCCCCCGGGGUUGGGCCGUGCCCCUCCGGCGGGGAACGGCGGGCCUCGGCAGCGCGGAGCGCGUUCUGUCUAUGCCGUGGUUUUUGUUCUGCUGGUAAUAUUUUGACACAGAGUUGCUGUUGGGAGGUACCAGAGGGCCUUGUCACCGGCCCUCACAGCACGCCGUGCUUUCCUGAAGUGGGAUCUGCGUGACGCUGAAGGACACCCAGCACGAAUCGUUCCAGCUGAUGUUAAGAGGUUUCACACCUCCAACGGCACGCAGCCCUGGGAACGGCUUCACAGCGGAGCUGCGGAGGCCACAGCCGUGAUGUUAUCACGGAGCAGCGCUGGGUUGUGAAGGCACGGGAGGCUGCUUCCAGUCUGGGGCUGUUUGAGGAAAUCACACUGCUUCCAGGGCUCUUCUUUUCUACAAAUUCCAUGCUGGAAAAAUUGGAGCUGGAAUCGUAACAAUUCAAAACCAGGAAAACAAAUAAAGAGAACCUUGCAUUAAUUGUUUGAACUCCGACGAUUUCCAGGGUCGCAUCGAGAUUUCUGGAUGGAGUUCAGAAUUUCUGAGCUUGGUUUGGCCGGCUGCCAAGGGGUGCAUUAAAACCUCUGAAUAAUACGCACCGGUUGCAAUUUCUCCUUAUCUCUGCCACCCUCUUGAAAGUCGUUUAAUGCGAGGAAGAUAUCGCAGAUGCCAUGUCAUGUAACGCAGCUCGCUGGCCUGGCAGAGGGCUGCUACGUAAGCAUGCAGCUGCUCUCUCUGUGAAACUGCAGGUCUGCACAUGCUGAGCACGGGUUGAGGGCCGCUCUGUCCCCCUGCGGUUGGUCCUCACAGUAUGCUGGCUGCCACGGGGACUUGUAAUUCAAAUCCAUGACGUUCUCAAAGACUCAAAGGCGGAAAAUGUCAUGACAAAAAAUCAAAGGCUGUCCACUGUACUUCAUGUGGGCAGGGGAUGCCGGCUGGGAGGACCUGCCCUGAUCGUGUGUGUAAGGGCGAUACGUGGGCAAAUCUACUGCCUUGCUUUCUUGUCAUGGAGACAUUUUCCUGUCGAAGAGUUUGUGAUGUGC